CUCAAGUUAUGAGGUUUUUUUUUGUUUUUUAUUAUUUCUUUACAUUUAGGGGUAAGGUAGCUCUCCAGAUUUUGGGUUUUGUUUUUAUUUUUUUUAAAUCACAGCUUCCAUGAUGCUUUGUCAUUGCCAAAGCAGGCUUCCUCAAACUCUGGCCCUCCAGAUGUCGCUGAACUCCAACUCCCAUGAUUCUAUGAAUGAAAUAGACAGGCUGAGAAUCAUG